rnacentral:rRNA from 1 species
GGCUCAGAAUCAACGCUGGCGGCGCGCUUAACACAUGCAAGUCGAACGAGAAAGCCGGGGCAACCUGGUGAGUAAAGUGGCGUACGGGUGAGUAACACGUGGGUAAUCUACCUUCUGGUGGGGAAUAACCCUGGGAAACCGGGGCUAAUACCGCAUAACCCCGCAAGGGAAAAGUAGCAAUACGCCGGAAGAGGAGCCCGCGGCCGAUUAGCUAGUUGGUAGGGUAACGGCCUACCAAGGCAACGAUCGGUAGCCGGCCUGAGAGGGCACACGGCCACACUGGCACUGAAACACGGGCCAGACUCCUACGGGAGGCAGCAGUGGGGAAUCUUGCACAAUGGGGGAAACCCUGAUGCAGCGACGCCGCGUGAGCGAUGAAGCCCUUCGGGGUGUAAAGCUCUUUCGGCAGGAACGAUAAUGACGGUACCUGCAGAAGAAGCUGCGGCUAACUACGUGCCAGCAGCCGCGGUAAUACGUAGGCAGCAAGCGUUGUUCGGAGUUACUGGGCGUAAAGAGUGCGUAGGUGGUUCUCUAAGUUCGGUGUGAAAUCUCCCGGCUCAACUGGGAGGGUGCGCCGAAAACUGGAGGGCUUGAGUGCGGGAGAGGAGAGCGGAAUUCCUGGUGUAGCGGUGAAAUGCGUAGAUAUCAGGAGGAACACCUGUGGUGCAGACGGCUCUCUGGACCGCCACUGACACUGAGGCACGAAAGCGUGGGGAGCAAACAGGAUUAGAUACCCUGGUAGUCCACGCCCUAAACGAUGCAUACUUGGUGUGGGUCAUUCAGUUGAUCCGUGCCGGAGCUAACGCGUUAAGUAUGCCGCCUGGGGAGUACGGUCGCAAGGCUGAAAACUCAAUG